rnacentral:rRNA from 1 species
CAAAGAUGCAAUGGCAAGAGAGCAAGAAAUUAAAACAAGGUCAAUCAAAAAGACAUUUGAUUGAUAGAAUACAAGACAGUUAUAAAACUUUGUGAAUAAAAUUGAGUGCGGGAUAGUGGCGGACGGGUGAGUAACGCGUGAAUAAUCUGCCCCAUACAGGGGGAUAGCCUCGGGAAACCGGGAUUAAAACCGCAUAACACUUUAUCACCGCAUGGUGAUGAAGUCAAAUCGAUUAAGAGGUAUGGGAUGAGUUCGCGUCUGAUUAGCUAGUUGGCGGGGUAAAGGCCCACCAAGGCGACGAUCAGUAGCCGGCCUGAGAGGGUGACCGGCCACACUGGAACUGAGACACGGUCCAGACUCCUACGGGAGGCAGCAGUGGGGAAUAUUGCACAAUGGGGGAAACCCUGAUGCAGCGACGCCGCGUGAGUGAAGAAGGUCUUCGGAUCGUAAAACUCUGUCCUUGGUGACGAAGGAAGUGACGGUAACCAAGGAGGAAGCCCCGGCUAACUACGUG